rnacentral:rRNA from 1 species
UACAGAGGUCUCAAGCGUUGUUCGGAUUCAUUGGGCGUAAAGGGUGCGUAGGCGGCGCGGUAAGUCGGGUGUGAAAUCUCGGAGCUUAACUCCGAAACUGCAUUCGAUACUGCCGUGCUUGAGGACUGGAGAGGAGACUGGAAUUUACGGUGUAGCGGUGAAAUGCGUAGAUAUCGUAAGGAAGACCAGUGGCGAAGGCGGGGUCUCUGGGACGGUACUGACGCUGAGACGCGAAAGCGUGGGGAGCGAACAGG